rnacentral:rRNA from 1 species
UAGGGAAUUUUUCACAAUGAGCGAAAGCUUGAUGGAGCAAUGCCGCGUGAACGAUGAAGGUCUUUAAGAUUGUAAAGUUCUUUUAUUUGGGAAGAAUGACUUUAGCAGGUAAUGGCUAGAGUUUGACUGUACCAUUUUGAAUAAGUGACGACUAACUAUGUGCCAGCAGUCGCGGUAAUACAUAGGUCGCAAGCGUUAUCCGGAUUUAUUGGGCGUAAAGCAAGCGCAGGCGGAUUGAAAAGUCUGGUGUUAAAGGCAGCUGCUUAACAGUUGUAUGCAUUGGAAACUAUUAAUCUAGAGUGUGGUAGGGAGUUUUGGAAUUUCAUGUGGAGCGGUGAAAUGCGUAGAUAUAUGAAGGAACACCAGUGGCGAAGGCGAAAACUUAGGCCAUUACUGACGCUUAGGCUUGAAAGUGUGGGGAGCAAAUAGGAUUAGAUACCCUAGUAGUCCACACCGUAACGAUAGAUACUAGCUGUCGGGGCGAUCCCCUCGGUAGUGAAGUUAACACAUUAAGUAUCUCGCCUGGGUAGUACAUUCGCAAGAAU